rnacentral:rRNA from 1 species
GAUGAACGCUAGCGAUAGGCUUAACACAUGCAAGUCGAGGGGCAGCACAAGGUAGCUUGCUAUCUGGGUGGCGACCGGCGCACGGGUGCGUAACGCGUAUGCAACUUGCCCUAUACAGGAGGAUAACCCGUCGAAAGACGGACUAAUACUGCGUAUGCUCACAACUUGGCAUCAAGUGGUGAGGAAAGAAAUUCGGUAUAGGAUAGGCAUGCGUCCCAUUAGCUUGUUGGUGAGGUAACGGCUCACCAAGGCAACGAUGGGUAGGGGAACUGAGAGGUUUAUCCCCCACACUGGUACUGAGGCACGGACCAGACUCCUACGGGAGGCAGCAGUGAGGAAUAUUGGUCAAUGGGCGCGAGCCUGAACCAGCCAAGUCGCGUGAAGGAUGACUGUCUUAUGGAUUGUAAACUUCUUUUAUACGGGAAUAACAAGAGUCACGUGUGACUCCCUGCAUGUACCGUAUGAAUAGGCAUCGGCUAACUCCGUG